AAUCUGCCACCGCUGCCACCGAGCCGAGGGGCGCCAGCAAGGCAUCCCCUGGGUCAAGGGGCCUCCCGUGGGCUUUCCAAACAGCCUGUGCUCAUUUCCGCGGGAGCCCUCGGGGCGCUGUGCUGUGGCUGCAUUGUCACUGUUUGUUUAUUUCUACAUCUGCUCUGUUAGAAGAUAGGCUCGCUUAGGACAGAGCCUUCUAAUCCACCCCCUGAUGAAUUCGGGCCCUCGCCUUUGGCACAAUGCCUGGCGUCAUCACAACGCGGGUGAUCAGUAAACGGCAGCGAAGGAAGCGGGGUCAGGACUGGAGAGGAGAGGGGGAGGAAGACAGACGACCGGAGAGGAACAAAAAUGGAAGGCAGUGUUUCAAGAACCCAGCUCCAUUCAUCCUAUGAUGCCACCAUCCUCAGCAUUUGACUUCCAUGGCUCCUAUAUGCUGCCAAGAGAAUUUUUUUCUUUAAGAACAAAUAAACUAAAGAAAUUAACAUCCAGCUUGCUGAGUCACUUGCUUUCCACUUGAAUUUUAACUACAAGGAUCUGAAGACAGCCUGUGUUAGGCAGAGAAAGAAAGAGACAGAGAAAGAGUCAGGGAGAAGAGAGGAAGAGAGAUGUAGCUGGAGAGUCAGGGAGAAAUUCAAAGAGAUGGAGAGAGAGACUGGUUCUGGAAAGAAAAGAUAAGUUAAAUAGAAAAAGGAAAGUAAUCUUUGAAAGGUUUGUUUAAGACAUGUAUUUUCUUACUCUGUAGUGGGAGCGCUGAAUAAAAAUAUUUAAAUAAAAGCUGUAAUGUGAUUAA
rnacentral:lncRNA from 1 species